AGGAAGGAGAGAUCAUGGCGGACGGGAGGCAAGACUAGCCUGCAGCUCUGGACAGAGCAGCGAGUGGGAGCUCGCAUUGUAAACUUUAGCUCCAGAUGGACGGCAAAAACAAACCAGCAAUCCCCAGAGGACCCACAGACCCUCUGAAGGAAGUGGGCUGCUCCUGCAGGACCCGGGAGACCCCCAAAACUGUGAGUGUCCAGCUGCCGAAGUGGGAAAGGGAAACCCUCCUCUCCGGAACAGACACCCCCUGAGAAGUCUAUUUGUGGGAGAAGUUUCCGACUUUACCUGGAGCUGAGUCAGUCUGGAGAGCUGACUGAAAUACAGGGAUAGAGGAGGCAGCAGCAAGGCCCUGGGAGCUGAAUGGGUCCCCGGGCAGCCCAUUCCUGCCUGGCACCACAGGGAUCCAACGGGAGAGGAACAGAGGGUAAAACUACACGGAGAGAAGGAAAUCUCUAGCUGAACUUUGUAACAAUUCGAACAGCGUGAGAAGUCUCCUGGCCAGAACUCGGGGGAGGACACAAAUCUCCUGCACAGUUAAUAUCCAGAGUCACACGUGGAGAGGAAGCAUCACAAUGAGACCAUACAACCAUAUAAUCUGUUCAAGUCCUAGAAGGUGUUGGCAGAGCUGCAGGACUGACCUAGGUCAAUGGCUGUGGGUGUCUGCUAACAGAUUUAACUGCCUGCCACCUGAGCACUGGAGCCACCACAGUACUCAAUCAAGACAGGAUUUGGGGUUUCUACAGCCAGCAUCACUGAUGGUGACAGAGACACACUGCUUCACACACAGCUGGCUUUCCUUUUUUUCUGAGGUACCAAGUGUUUGCCACCAACAGUGUAUCUAAGACACAAUGUCUGGCUAGUCUUUUGCUAUUAGAAAGGUGCAGCAUCUCACACCUGUAAUCCCAGCACUUUGGGAGACAAAGGCAGGUAGAUCACCUGAGGUCAGGGAUUCAAGACCAGCCUGGCC
rnacentral:lncRNA from 1 species